rnacentral:rRNA from 1 species
GACGAACGCUGGCGGCGUGCUUAACACAUGCAAGUCGAACGGAAAGGCCCUGCUUUUGUGGGGUGCUCGAGUGGCGAACGGGUGAGUAACACGUGAGUAACCUGCCCUUGACUUUGGGGUAACUUCAGGAAACUGGGGCUAAUACCGUAUAGGAGCUCCUGCUGCAUGGUGGGGGUUGGAAAGUUUCGGCGGUUGGGGAUGGACUCGCGGCUUAUCAGCUUGUUGGUGGGGUAGUGGCUUACCAAGGCUUUGACGGGUAGCCGGCCUGAGAGGGUGACCGGCCACAUUGGGACUGAGAUACGGCCCAGACUCCUACGGGAGGCAGCAGUGGGGAAUAUUGCACAAUGGGCGGAAGCCUGAUGCAGCAACGCCGCGUGCGGGAUGACGGCCUUCGGGUUGUAAACCGCUUUCGCCUGUGACGAAGCGUGAGUGACGGUAAUGGGUAAAGAAGCACCGGCUAACUACGUG